AACUCCUCCCAGCACCAAUGGUCUCUUCAGCCCCUUCUCCUCCCCUGACUCCCUGAGAGUCCAUGCAACCAUGCCCAGUUUCCUCCACGCGCUUGCUCUAGCUGGCCCUUCCACUGCCUGUGUCCACCACUCCCAGGCGCCAACACCCGCUUCCUAUGACAGCGUCGAGACGGAGAAGGGGCAGCGCCUGGCAGCCAACAGGAGGGCGGAGGCGGGGGCGCGGCGCGGAGCGCCGCCGGCUGCGGAGCGCGGUCGCGUGGAGCGGUGUUGCUUCGCAGCGGCCGGGCGCGAAAGCACUGGCUGCAGCAGCAUGGUAGCUGGCUAUUUGGCGAGCAUAGCAUAAGCAGCAGCCAGCGAGAGGUAAAUAGCCAAGCAGCAGCCAGCGUCCUGACUCCAGAGCAAUGUUUCUCGAUUUAUUUUGGACUGGGAAUGGUUUGAGAAUGGGUUCAACCCAUUUUCUUGUGUUUGUUUUGAACCGAUUUGGAUUAUCUUUGGUACUUGCCGAGUAGGUUUGGGUUUUGGGAGUGAUUAAUUUGUUUGGAGUGGUUUGGUAGUAUGCUAUACAGACAAAUUGUUCUGAAGUGUGUCGUUAAAUUAGUCUAGAAAACUAUUAGGUGAUGAUUUAAUUUGCCUCCGUUUUGUGCAUACUGUAUAUGUAAACUUUGAUCAUCAUACCUAUAGGCUGAUAUUUAUCAUGUAAGCAUUUCUUUCAUCUUAUCUACCGCAGUCGUGUAGACAAUUUGCUGAAAAUAUUUCAAACAAUGUGCAGCAAGACAGCAAGAUGGUGGAUAGAUAUUGACUAGUAAAAACUAGCCCAUGAAGUAUGCAAUACUAUGUCGGACAAUUUGUUUAUAUAUACAUCAGAAUCAGAACUUCCUUGCAUUAUUUAUUUUACUUACCUGAACCCAUGAA